AAAAGUUCAACACAGCAGGAGACAAGAAGGGCACCUCAGAAGUCUAAGACAGGAGCCCUGGAGGUCUCUUCUUCCCAUCUCCAGCAUGAGUGAGAUGCGGAGACAAGACGCGGCUGACAGAAGUUAUACCAACCAAAUGUAGAAGAUGACAGAGAAGAUCUACAUUGGAGGAGAUGUCAUCUGGAGCCACUGGAUGUGACAGAUCGGUCUUCUCGUUGUGUUGUGGAUGUUUGUUGAAAAGUUCUGUUAAAGAAGAUUUUAAUAUUACGGAGCUGGAAGGCAUCACGUUUGAAUUUGCCAAGUUGGAAGUUACCAUUGUUUGUCUUGCAAUCCUGUUUCAUGAAUAAGAUUCCUUGUUAUGUAAGAUUUGAGUUCAGACUUCAUCCAGCUUGCUGUAGCAAAUAAAAUACGGUUUGGAACCAGCGGAGAAUUUGAGUAUGUCUCUUUUCAAGAAGGAUGAGGAUAGUUUUUGGAAGAACACCAAACUGUUAAUGCCCCUAAAUAAAGUUUGUUUUUGGUGGAGUAAGUACAGUAUGC